GCCCAGACUCCUACGGGAGGCAGCAGUGGGGGAUAUUGCACAAUGGGGGAAACCCUGAUGCAGCGACGCCGCGUGUGGGAAGACGGUCCUCUGGAUUGUAAACCACUGUCCCCAGGGACGAAGAUGACGGUACCUGGGGAGGAAGCUCCGGCUAACUACGUGCCAGCAGCCGCGGUAAUACGUAUGGUGCAAGCGUUAUCCGGAUUUACUGGGUGUAAAGGGAGCGUAGGCGGCGCGUUAAGUCUGAUGUGAAAACCCGAGGCUCAACCACGGGAGUGCAUUGGAAACUGGCGGGCUGGAGUGCCGGAGAGGUAAGCGGAAUUCCUAGUGUAGCGGUGAAAUGCGUAGAUAUUAGGAGGAACACCAGUGGCGAAGGCGGCUUACUGGACGGCAACUGACGCUGAGGCUCGAAAGCGUGGGGAGCAAACAGGAUUAGAUACCCCGGUA
rnacentral:rRNA from 1 species